rnacentral:rRNA from 1 species
CAAUAGCGUAUAUUUAAGUUGCUGCAGUUAAAAAGCUCGUAGUUGGAUUUCGGGUGGGAAUGGCCGGUCCGCCGUUUCGGUGUGCACUUGCUACGUCCACCUUGCUGCCGGGGACGUGCUCUUGAGUUCACGCUCGGGACACGGAGUCGGCGAGGUUACUUUGAGUAAAUUAGAGUGUUCAAAGCAGGCCUACGCUCUGAAUACAUUAGCAUGGAAUAACACGAUAGGACUCUGGCCUAUCUUGUUGGUCUGUAGGACCGGAGUAAUGAUUAAGAGGGACAGUCGGGGGCAUUCGUAUUUCAUUGUCAGAGGUGAAAUUCUUGGAUUUAUGAAAGACGAACUACUGCGAAAGCAUUUGCCAAGGAUGUUUUCAUUAA